AUUGAACGCUGGCGGCAGGCCUAACACAUGCAAGUCGAGCGAGCGGCGGACGGGUGAGUAAUGUCUGGGAAACUGCCUGAUGGAGGGGGAUAACUACUGGAAACGGUAGCUAAUACCGCAUACCAUCAGAUGUGCCCAGAUGGGAGUAGCUAGUAGGUGGGGUAACGGCGCACCUAGGCGACGAUCCCUAGCUGGUCUGAGAGGAUGACCAACCACACUGGACCUGAGACAAGGUCCAGACUCCUAGGGGAGGCAGCAUUGGGGAAGAUUGCACAAUGGUCGAAAUCCUGAGGCAGCCAUGCCGCUUGUGUGAAGAAGGCCUUCGGGUUGUAAAGCACUUUCAGCGGGGAGGCGUUACCCGCAGAAGAAGCACCGGCUAACUCCGUGCCCGCAGCCGCGGUAAUAC
rnacentral:rRNA from 1 species